ACACAGUUUUAUUUUAGCUGGAACGCAAGGCUGAGCGAACGACAUCCUUCUAGACUGUUCUUCCACCUUCCUGUACAUUCUGAGGGCCAGGUAUGGAAAGGUCCUACUUGAUGCCAACAGGGAGGCAUGGAAAUUUCUCUGGUUUCAAUGGGUACGAUUAUUGUAAGCAGGAUCCAUUCAAUAAUCGGACCCAUUUAAACCGGAGAUUUUAAAAGACAGGAAUAGAAUCCCA
rnacentral:lncRNA from 1 species